rnacentral:rRNA from 1 species
GGGUUGUGAGGUUAAGCGACUAAGCGUACACGGUGGAUGCCCUGGCAGUCAGAGGCGAUGAAGGACGUGCUAAUCUGCGAUAAGCGCCGGUAAGGUGAUAUGAACCGUUAUAACCGGCGAUUUCCGAAUGGGGAAACCCAGUGUGAUUCGUCACACUAUCAUUAACUGAAUCCAUAGGUUAAUGAGGCGAACCGGGGGAACUGAAACAUCUAAGUACCCCGAGGAAAAGAAAUCAACCGAGAUUCCCCCAGUAGCGGCGAGCGAACGGGGAGGAGCCCAGAGCCUGAAUCAGCAUGUGUGUUAGUGGAAGCGUCUGGAAAGGCGCGCGAUACAGGGUGACAGCCCCGUACACAAAAGCGCAUGUGCUGUGAGCUCGAUGAGUAGGGCGGGACACGUGGUAUCCUGUCUGAAUAUGGGGGGACCAUCCUCCAAGGCUAAAUACUCCUGACUGACCGAUAGUGAACCAGUACCGUGAGGGAAAGGCGAAAAGAACCCCGGCGAGGGGAGUGAAAAAGAACCUGAAACCGUGUACGUACAAGCAGUGGGAGCACCCUUCGGGGUGUGACUGCGUACCUUUUGUAUAAUGGGUCAGCGACUUAUAUUCUGUAGCAAGGUUAACCGUAUAGGGGAGCCGGAGGGAAACCGAGUCUUAAUUGGGCGUUAAGUUGCAGGGUAUAGACCCGAAACCCGGUGAUCUAGCCAUGGGCAGGUUGAAGGUUGGGUAACACUAACUGGAGGACCGAACCGACUAAUGUUGAAAAAUUAGCGGAUGACCUGUGGCUGGGGGUGAAAGGCCAAUCAAACCGGGAGAUAGCUGGUUCUCCCCGAAAGCUAUUUAGGUAGCGCCUCGUGAAUUCAUCUCCGGGGGUAGAGCACUGUUUCGGCUAGGGGGCCAUCCCGGCUUACCAACCCGAUGCAAACUGCGAAUACCGGAGAAUGUUAUCACGGGAGACACACGGCGGGUGCUAACGUCCGUCGUGAAGAGGGAAACAACCCAGACCGCCAGCUAAGGUCCCAAAGUCAUGGUUAAGUGGGAAACGAUGUGGGAAGGCCCAGACAGCCAGGAUGUUGGCUUAGAAGCAGCCAUCAUUUAAAGAAAGCGUAAUAGCUCACUGGUCGAGUCGGCCUGCGCGGAAGAUGUAACGGGGCUAAACCAUGCACCGAAGCUGCGGCAGCGAACGUAUCACCCAAGACAACUUUACGGAGUUGACGAUUGACGGAGCGAAGCGACGUCAAAGCGUUCAUUAAAGUCGAGUUGGCUUAGGGAUACGUUCGUUGGGUAGGGGAGCGUUCUGUAAGCCUGUGAAGGUGUGUCGUGAGGCAUGCUGGAGGUAUCAGAAGUGCGAAUGCUGACAUAAGUAACGAUAAAGCGGGUGAAAAGCCCGCUCGCCGGAAGACCAAGGGUUCCUGUCCAACGUUAAUCGGGGCAGGGUGAGUCGACCCCUAAGGCGAGGCCGAAAGGCGUAGUCGAUGGGAAACGGGUUAAUAUUCCCGUACUUGGUGUUACUGCGAAGGGGGGACGGAGAAGGCUAUGUUGGCCGGGCGACGGUUGUCCCGGUUUAAGCGUGUAGGUGUGUGUUCCAGGUAAAUCCGGUUCACUUUAACACUGAGGCGUGACGACGAGGCACUACGGUGCUGAAGCAACAAAUGCCCUGCUUCCAGGAAAAGCCUCUAAGCAUCAGGUAACACGAAAUCGUACCCCAAACCGACACAGGUGGUCAGGUAGAGAAUACCAAGGCGCUUGAGAGAACUCGGGUGAAGGAACUAGGCAAAAUGGUGCCGUAACUUCGGGAGAAGGCACGCUGACAC